rnacentral:piRNA from 1 species
UNGGCAACAACCUUCCUGGCUUAGGAGGCCUU